CUGAUUUUAUGGCAAUUUUUGCAUCAAAUCUAUAAAACGGUUUUUAUUUGAAGUUGGCAAAUCCCAGUUACGAUAGUGCUGUUUUUAUUUGUUUAAACAGCAUAUUUAGUUCCUUUAACUCUUUCCCUCUGAUCUUUUCUUUAUCCCUUUUUAUUUCUUUUUGUUUUUUAACUAAUUUUUUUAUUGGGCCCUUUUUCAUUCUCAUCUUUUUCAAAGAAAUGUUUAUAUCUAGGACAAAAUUAAUUCCUGUUAGGAUAAGGAGCUCGCUCCUUAAAUCCUAAAUUCCUCUUUACUCAAUUCACAACACAAAUUCCAAAAAAAACCCCUUUGUGAUCAUAACAAGUAGUACUAACACAUGGAUGUGCCACAAAGACAGAUUCGUUUUUAUCCCUGUCCCACACAGAACGAUUGCAUUUGUCAUAGGGAUCGGGAAUACUUUGUUUCUUUCUUGCUGCCCUUUGUGCUGCUUGUCCUUGUUUUAAUAUACACUUCAGUUAACAGCCCCAGCUGCUCUGCUUUGCAGGCCCUUGAGGAAGGGAUGGGCUUACGGGUGGGAAAGGUGGGGUUUUUCCCACCCCUGGAGAGGCUCGACUGGAGUGGUCAGACCCUCCCCAGGCCCAUGAAACAGUGAUAACCUUUGGCGCUUUUUCUUGUUUCCAAGUCUUGUUUGGAACUGACUUUCAUGCAAUUGUUCUUUGUUUUUUCCAGGAAGAUUGCACCUGGUGCCUGGACUGGGUGGGGAAGCGCCAGCACCGUCCGUGGAUCCCGUCCAGUGCCGGCGCUACCCCGGGGGGCCACGGUGUGUGGGGACAUCCCCUUCAGGAAGGACGAGGGUCUCGUGUGGGAUCAGCUCCUCUCCUGGCAGCAGGUCUCCAGAGGCUACCAGCACCUCAUGCCAUGGAAACGGCACCGCUCGGCUGCCAGUCUGGGAGGGCUGGAGGGCAGCGGGUGUUCACUUGCUGUCAAAAAUAAAUCUUUUUCUUGUCAUCAUCAUCAUCAUCA